rnacentral:rRNA from 1 species
GACGAACGCUGGCGGCGUGCUUAACACAUGCAAGUCGAACGGAAAGGCCCUGCUUUUGUGGGGUGCUCGAGUGGCGAACGGGUGAGUAACACGUGAGUAACCUGCCCUUGACUUUGGGAUAACUUCAGGAAACUGGGGCUAAUGCCGGAUAGGAGCUCCUGCUGCAUGGUGGGGGUUGGAAAGUUUCGGCGGUUGGGGAUGGACUCGCGGCUUAUCAGCUUGUUGGUGGGGUAGUGGCUUACCAAGGCUUUGACGGGUAGCCGGCCUGAGAGGGUGACCGGCCACAUUGGGACUGAGAUACGGCCCAGACCCCUACGGGAGGCAGCGGGGGGGAAUAUUGCACAAUGGGCGGAAGCCUGAUGCAGCAACGCCGCGUGCGGGAUGACGGCUUUCGGGUUGUAACCCGCUUUCGCCUGUGACGAAGCGUGAGUGACGGUAAUGGGUAAAGAAGCACCGGCUAACUACGUG